rnacentral:lncRNA from 10 species
CUUGAUAUCUGCGAGGGUCCUGGCUCCUGUGUUCCUCCCGCCACUGACAGAUGUGCUAGUGGAUGCUCGAGACUCAGAGCCUUCUGAAAAUGGAGCCUUAUCCACUGAUGAGAUAUAUUGCUUGUCCUGUAAUUUAGCAGAUGGAAGCUCAUUUCCCUUAUUAUCUGUCCCUUCAGAAAAGACAGAUAAUUCCAAUGGUGAAGGUUUGCUGACUCAGGGUCUUAUUGUGCAAAUCUUCAGACGGAAAUGCUUCAGGAGCAAUGGAAGAAGAACUCAUUAUGAUGGGUUCGGGAGUAUUAGACAGAUUCUUCUGCUGGGAGAGUUGGAAAUUGGAGAUGUUUCUGAAGGAAGUGGCAAACUGGAUACAAAAGUGGUCUCAGAGGUGAGAAGCAUGGAAGACACUGAAGAAGUUUCUGAUGUUAAAGUGAUUCUAACUGCAUGGUAUGAGAGUUGCUGAGAACAGUGAGUGCUGGAGUUAGAAAGUGGCUAAAUAAUAACGGUGCACCGAGAAAUACUAAGCAAUCUAGAUUUCAUUCUACAGACAACGAGGAGUCAUUCAAAGUAAAGCCAAAACAUGAAGAAAAUAUUCACAUUGAGUAUGUGCGGGGAAGAUGAUUGCGGCUCUAAAUAGGGUAUCAGGAUGAGCCUCUCUAAUAGAAUUAAUAAGAGACAUUUGAGCAGAAAGAAAUGCAAAAGCAAGCCACACAGCUAGCUGGGAAACAGCCAAGCGAAGAGAAUAUAAAUGCAAAGGCCCUCAGGUGGGGCUUGCACAGAGGCCCUUGGAGCUAGAGAGCAGAAAGUGGAAGGAAGAGGAGCGGAGGGGACAGGAUCACACUGGGCCUUGUCACCCACUAUACAGACUGCCUUCUCCCUUGAGGGGGCUGGAAAGCCUUUGGAGGGUGUUGGUCCAAAGAAUGAUAAGAGCUGACAUUUCCAAAGGGUAGCUCUGACUGCUGUGUUUAGAAAAAUAUUUAGAGUACUGCUGUCUAAUAGUAUAAAGGUGAGUCACAUAUGUGAUUUCAAUUUUUCUACUAAUCAUGCUGGAAAAAAUAAAAGAAACAUGUAAUUAAUUUCAAUAAUGCAUUUUCUUAAUCCAAACUAUCGAAAAUAUUAUUUCAACAUAUAUUCAAUAUAAAAUAUUGUUAAUGAGAUAUUUUACAUUCUCUUUGAAUAUGAAUUCUUCAAUAUCCAGUGGAUCUUUUUAAUAGCACAUCUCAUUUCAUAUUCUAGUGAGCCGUAUUUCUAGUUCUCAAAAGCCUCAAGUGGCUAGUGGCUAUUGUACUAGACAGCAUAGCUUUAGCAGAUAAAGAUCUACCAGGAACACUAGUAUAUAGGGUUUACAAUAAUCCAGGAAAAAAAUGAUAGUAGCUUGGACUGGGAUAACCGCACUGGAGGCAGCGUGAAAUGGUUAGGUUCUGAUUACAUCCUGAAGGUUGAGCCAGCAUAAUUUGAUGAUAGAUUAAAUGUGUGGUAUGAAAGAGGGCAGGCAAGGCUGAUAUCAAGAAUUUUUGGACUUAGGAAUGAAACGUAGAAAACUGCUAAUUAGUUUUUAAAAGACAAGACUAUAGGCAGAGGAGGUUUGUUUUAGCACUACAUCAGGUUGAGAUGCUGAUUAUAAUUCCCAGUAGAUGUCUUCCAUAUGUUACUCCUACUGCAGUGUAGAGGAUGCCCUGGACAAAGGCAAGACUAAGACAGGGAUUUCUGUUAACUAGCAUCAAGAGCAAGCGGAACCAAUGAUGAAAAGUCUUAAGAUUGUUCAGGUAGAGGAAACAGAGAGGAAGGAGAAUAUUCAAGAUAAGUAUACAAACCAGAAUUGAUGGCACUGAGUGAUCACUGGGGCUGAGAAAGAUGAGACAAAAAGAUGUGGAAGAUGCUUCCCAGGAAUAAGGCUUGCUAACUGAGUACAUGCUGGCACCAAACAUCAGAACAGGAAAAGGCACAAGAGGGAAACAGUAUUUAGAAACAAGAAAUGAAGGCUUUGGAUAUGUUGAUGUAAGGAUAUCUUGAUGGCAUCCAAAUAAAGAUGUCUAGUCAGUAACUGAGAAUAGGGCAAGAUGCUCAAUGGUAAAUAUUGUUUUCAAAUAGGAAUGAUUAGCAAAUAAAGUGUAGUUGGAAACAUGGGUAUAGAUGAGAACAUUGGAAGAAUAUUUACCAAAAGAGAAGGUGGCUUAAAGCAGAGUCCUGAGGAAUACUAAUGUAACAGGAAUGAGGAGGUAAAGUAGAUCCUGUUAGGAAGACUAAGCAAAAGUAGAAAGAGGUAGGAAGAAAAUCGGAGCAAGUGGCAUCAUAUUGAUAGGUGUAAGGGAAGAAUGUGUUUGCAGAAGGUGAUCUGUAUUGUGGAUGUGCUAAUAUCUAUCAAGCCUUUUAGCAUUACUAAGGUAAACAGUGUGUGCAGUAUAGUACAUUAGCUGUUGUGUCCAAUACAAAAAUCAAUAGGAUCUUUAGAGCAAAGACAACCCAGACAGUGAGACACUAAUCAGGAGUCUAAUACAAUACAAAAGAGCAAUGAGCAUAUGAACCAUCAUAUGCUGUUAUCAUUGAGCCACUUAUACCCUGCAUGAUCAAGCACCCAGUGCCCUUGUAGUCUACAUCCCAGUACGAAUAAAAGCCAGAGUAUUGACUCUCUUUAAAAGGUAAAUUUUAAUUUUUUCCUUACCACUAAGUAUAAUUCAGAUGGCCCAGGAGACUCUAUAGACAUGCUCAAGAUUUAUCCACAAGGGAAAAUAUUAUUCUUUAGAAUAACAUAAAGAUAGGCAUAAAAAUGAAAGAAGGCUGUUAAAAGGGAUGGAUUCCCUAAAGGAGAUAGAUCAGCAAUAUGCCAAAGACAAUUUUGCAAAUAACUUUUCAAAGAUAUUUCCAAAAUUGCAGUAAGACAAUAUUACCAAAAUUGUGUUUUGCAAAAUAGGUAUUUUAAUAGGUAAAUCCAUCUAAAAGAAAUGCAGUCUUCCAUACAAUAAAUAUAGCCUGACUGUAUUAAAUAUGGUUAAGUAGUUUCAUUUACUGUAUUAUCUAAUAUGCUAAAAUUUAUUUUAAAUUCUGAAGAAUAAAUUAUACAGUAUUUCCCACACUUUUAUACUUUAUAAUCCUCUCACAGAACAACCAUCAGUAUCUCAUAGAACAACUAUUCCCCAGAAUAGUUUGGGAACUGAUGCAUUAAGAGUUGUAAAAGUAUCACUGACAGAAACAGCCACAUGUGAUAAGCAUGAGACAAUGAAUUUCCCCAUGCUAGAGACUAUAUUCCUCUUUAACAAAUGAAUAUAAGUUUCUAAGAUCUGAAAAUGGGACAAUUUUGAGAAUAUUGUGAGAACCAAGUAUUCAGAAUAAAUAGUGACAAAAUAUUAAAGAUGAUGUAAUAAACUUUAACCUACAAGCUUGAACAACCUCAAGUUCAAAGCCACUGAAGGAAACAAUUCUUUGCAACCACUGUCAAAAAAGUCCUAAUAUAUAUAAUAAUUUUUUAAAUAUUGUGAUUAUAAUGCUGUAAUCAAGACUCUAUCUAGUCAUAUGAGGACUCAAUAAAAAAUGUUAUACAGGCAUAUCACAAAGACAUUGCAAAUUCAGUUCCAAACUACGACAAUAAAGUGAAUGUUGCAAAAAAGUAAGUCACAUAAACGUUUUGGUUUCCCAGUACAUAUAAAAGCUAUCACUAUACUGUAGUCUAUUAACUGUACAAUAGCAUUAUGCUAAAAAUCAAUUUACAUACCUUAAUUAAAAAUACGUUAUUACUUAAAAUGAUAACAGUAAUCUGAGCUUUCAGUGAGUCAUAAUCUUUUUGCUGACGGAGGGUCUUGCAUGGAUGUUGAUGGCUGCUGACUGAUCAGGGUGGCUGGUGGCUGCUGAAGGCUGGAAUGGCUAUGAUAAUUGCUUAAAAUAAGCUGACAAUAAAAUUUGCUGCAUUAGUUGACUCUUCCUUUCCCAAAAAACUUAUCUGUAGCAUGUGAUGCUGUUUGAUAGCAUUUUGCCCAUAGCAGAACGUCUUUCAAAAUUGGAGUCAAUUCUCUUAAACUCUGCCGCUGCUUUAUCAACUAAGCUUAUGGAAUAUUCGAAGUCCUUUGUUUUUACUUCAACGAUGUUCACAGCUAUCUUAACCCAGAGUCAAUUUCAUCUCAAGAAACCACUUUCUUUGCACAUAAGAAGCAACCCCUCACUUGUGAAAGUUUCAUCCUAAGAUGGCAACAACUCAGUCACAUCUUCAGGCUCUACUUCUAAUUCUAGUUCUCUUGCUAUUUGCACCACAUCUGCAGUGACUUCCUCCACUGAAGUCUUGAACUCCUCAAAGUCAUCUAUAAGUAUCAGAAUCAACUUCUUUCAAAGUCCUGUUAAUGUUGCUAUUUUGACCUCCUCCCACGAAUCACAAAUGUUCUUAAUGGCAUCCAGAAUGGUGAAUUCUUUCCAAAAGACUUUCAAUUCACCUUGCUCAGAACCAUCAGAGGAAUCACUACCUAUGGCAGCCACAGCCUUAGAAAAUGCAUUUCUUAAAUAAUAAGACUUGAAAGUCAAAAUUACUCCUUGAUCCAUAUGCUGCAGAAUAGGUAUUGCAUUAGUAAUAUGAAAACAUUAUUCUCUUUUUACAUCUCUGUCAGCUUCUUCAGUGACCCCACUGCAUUGUCAAUGAGCAGUAAUAUUUUGAAAAGAAUAUUUUUUCUGAGCAGUAAGUCUCAACAGCGGACUUAAAAUAUUCAGUAAGCCAUGUUGUAAACAGAUGUGCUGUCACUCAGGCUUUACUGUUCCAUUUACAGAGCAAAGGCAGAAUAGAUUUAGCAUAAUUCUUAAGGGCUGUAGGAUUUUUGGAAUGGCAAAUGAGCACUGGUUUCCACUUAAAGCCACCAGCUGCAUUAGCACCUAACAGAAGGGUAAGCCUAUCCUUUCAAGCCAGGCAUUGACUUCUCCUCUCUAGCUAUAAAAGCCCAAUGGCAUCUUUUUCCAAUUUCAUCUACAUUGAAAAUCUGUUGUUUAACAUAGCCACCUUCAUCAAUAAUCUUAGCUAGGUCUUCUGAAUAACUUGCUGUGGCUUCUACAUCAGCCACUGCCGUUUCACCUUGCACUUUUAGGUUAUAGAGAUGGCUUCUUUCCUUAAGCCUCAUGAGCUAAUCUCUGUUAGCUUCCAAGUUCCCUUCUAGCACAUCUUCACCUCUCCAAGCUUUCAGAGAAUAAAAAAGAGUUAGGGGCUUGCUCUAUAGUAGGCUCUGGCUUAAAGGAAUAUUGUGGCUGAUUUGAUCUUCUAGCCAGACCACUAAAACUUCCUCCAUAUCAACAAUAAAGGUGUUUCACUUUCUCAUCAUUUGUGUGUUCAGUGCAGUAGCACUUUUAAUUACCCUCAAGAACUUUUCCUUUCCAUUCACAACUCGGCUAAUUAUUUGGUGCAAGAGGCCUAACUUUUGGCCUAUCUCAGCUUUCAACAUGCCUUCCUCAUUACUAAAUGUAAUCAUUUCUAGUUUUUGAUUGAAAAGUGAGACUUAUGCAACUUUUUCUUUCACUUUAACUCUUAGAGGCCAUUGUAGGGUUAUUAAUUGGCCUAAUUUUAAUACUGCUCUGUCUUAGGAAAUAGGGAGGCCUGAAGAAAGGGAGAGAAAUGGGAGACAGCUGGUCAGUAAACAGUCGGAACACAUUUAUGGAUUAAGUUCACUGUCUUAUGAGGGCAUGGUUUGUGGUACCCCAAAACAAAUGCGAUAGUAAAAAAUAUCAUUGGUCAUAUAUCACCAUAUAUAAUAAUACAUUAUCAUAUUUUAAUAAUGAAAUAUAUUAUAAUAAAAAUGCUUGAAAUAUUAUGAGAAUUACCAAAAUGUGACACAGACACACACAAUGAACACAUGCUGUUGGAAAAAUGGAAUGAUGCCCAUAGACUUGCUCAGUGCAGGGUUGCCUCCAACUUUCAAUUUAUAAAAAAAACAGUAUUUGUGAAGUGCAAUAAAGCAAACUAAAUUAAAACAAGGUAAGCCUGUAUAGCUUUCAUCCUUCCUCCAAAUAAGUUUUAAAAGUAUGCAUGGAAUCAAGCAAAAGUGAACACAAAGUAAAUUUUAGAGAGAAAUAUUACCGAACAAAGCAGCACUUAGAUGGAAAUGUGGAAGGCUUUUUGUCAUUAUUGUUAUGAUGGAGUUUUAAAGUAGAUGUCAUAAUAAAAGCCUCUCUUCUUCUGAGCUGUCUUUUUCUACUACUUACUGCUUUUGUGAUAUGUGUAUGUAUGUACAUCUCUAUAUCCAUCUAAACAUAUAUACACAUGUACUUUAAUAUACACAUACAUGGAACAUGCAUACACAUUUAUGCAAUUAUCUAUAUACAUACAUACAUAUAUAUAUGUGUGUACAUAUAAUUUUUUCUUUUUCCUUUGCAAAUAGAAUUUUUAGCCAAUCCAACCACUUGGCCAAAAUAAUGGUCUCCUUUUAAAUGGAACCUUUUGCUGUUAUCAAGAGAACGAGAACUAUCCUCCUGAUCCCACCACAUGACCUGUCUAAAUUUCCAAAUCAGCAGAGGAUAUAAUCAAUCAGAUGCUGGGGAGGCUAUUCCUUAGAAUAAGACUGUAGGAAAGCAAUUUCUUAGGCUCCAAUUAACGAAAGAAAACAAUUCUCUUAUUCUAAGAGAAACAGGUUUCAUUAUAAUUGCUGCUAAGGAUUUCAGAAUAUAUAAUCAGGAAAGCCAUAUUUCAGGGAUGUAUGCAAUGUUAAAAGCAAAUGAAACAAGGAGAAUAUUAAUAUUGAUUAUUGAAAGGUUUCAGGUAUUCAGUUUCAACUAUUGUGCUUACAUGGGAUUUCCCUUAAGCUUUCAUUCAAUAUUAGUUAAAACAAUAAUUAUUUUCCAAUGAUAUUAUUCUACAGUUUAAAAUUCUGACACCUUUUCUAAGAAUCAAUCCAUUUUCAAAUUCCAAAAACAGGAAUUGCUCAGAAGAGAUGUAGCCUGUGGCAAAAUCAGUAAAAACAACUGAAAUAAAGACAUCUAAAGGCAAAAAUAAAGCCUUUGACAGAUCACACUUUCACCAGCUUCUCCACAAUUAGAGAAGGGUUUGGUGUUCACAGUGUAUCUACUUCAUGACAAACAAACUUGUGGAGGACCUUUGGCCACAUCUUGGGACAUUCUGCUGGGCCUCGAUGAGAAGCGAUGUUUUCAAAAUUGGAACAAGUUGUAGCAAAUAUGAGAAUGUGUAUGUUUUAAAAGACAACGUUUUAUAAUUGUAUUUUCUUUAAUGUUCCCUCUGUGUGUAGCAGAGGGGGAAGGGGGGAAAAAACUUCCAAUGUACCCAACCAUGAAUACUAAUGUUUUAUUUAGUGAAACUCAAGCUCAUGUUCUUGUAUAGAUAAAAUAAGGUUAUGUUAUAAUGUAGUGGGAAUCAAUGAAUCACUGUUUCCAUUUGUAAUACACUGAACAGCUGUGUUUAAGUGACUAUCUAUUAGUCAUUCCUUUCUUUAACAAACAUUUCACAGCAUCUACUAUGUGCCAGGAACUGUGAAACAGAUAGACAGCUUCUGCUGAUCCAAGAGCCUUGCACCUAGAGUGGUAAAGGGUAAAAUGUCUUUUUUAAUAGCAUGGGGCGUGCCUGAGAAGGAAAGGAUGCUAGGAGAGCCCCCAAGUCUGGGUAUCUAACAUAUCUUUAAUUCCCCCUUGUAGCCUGGUAAUAUCUAUGCCCAAAGGUAACUGUCUUAGCCUCUCCUCCCCUUUAACAAUGGCCCUGAUCUACUUCUUCUUCCAUAAAAACGAUAACUAACAACAAUAAUAAUAGACUAACUGAGUGCUUUCAACAACCCUGAAGAUGGGUGCCUUAGUCUGUCUGGUCUGCAAUAACAAAGUACCAUAGACUGGGCAGCUUAUAAACAACAAAAAUUUAUUCCUCACUCCUCCGGAGGCCAGAAAAUCCAAGAUUAAGGUACCAGCAGAUUCAGUGUCUGGGGAGGGCCUGUUUCUUGGUUCACAGAUGAUGUCUUCUUGCUGUUGCCUCCAUGGUGGAAGGGACUAGCUAGAUUUCUGGGGUUUCUUAUAAGAGAACUAAUCCCAUUCAUGAAGACUCUGUCCUCAUGAUCUAAUCAUCUCCCAAAGCUCCACCUUCUAGUAACAUCACUAUGGGAGUUAGGAUUUCAACAUAUAAAUUAUGAGGAAACACAAACCUUCAGACUCUAGCAGUAGGUAAGCAGCAAAGUAGGAUUUGACUCCCUAAAAUGAUACCUUUUCCAUUAUACCACAUGACUUUCUUUAGUUAACAUGCAGGCAUUCAUUCUUCCACUGAAAAAGUUUAUAUGCUAGAUGCUGGAAAUACAAUGAACAAAGAAAGGCAUGGUCCCCGUUUUAUCAAGUUGUAACUAUAAAUGGUGUUAAGGCCUCUGAAGAAAACAGAAGUACAAGAAGGGAAAAUUCUAGGUGCAUGCGUGUGGAGGUAGGACUCUCCGAGGCAUUUAUUUCCAAGCAGAGAUGUAUGUGAAGGAAGGGCAGGAAAGAGCCCUAGAGUAAGGGCAGAAGGAAAAGCAACCACAGCUCCGAAAAGGGAGGUAAGGAACCUUGUUAUGAAGGGAAAUGAUGCAAGAGUGUGGUAGCUGAAGGACUGUGUGGCAUCAAGAUUGUUGCUGUUGUUUUCUCCUGUUUAUUUUUUGGAUGGAUAUUCUUAGCUAACAAGAAUCCACUCUCCAUGGUUCAGUUUAAUUUCUAAACUAUGAAAAACAAACUACUUCCUAGAGUUUUUUGUGAGGAUUAAAUGAAUAAAUAUAUAUGAAAUAUUUUGAAUAGUGCUGGCUUACACAAAGUUCUCAACAAGCUGAGAUAUAAUAUUUAUUAUUUGGUAGGAGGUGUAGCAGACAUACUCUAGGAGCCCCUGAUGAGUCACACACUUGUAGAAUUCUCUUUCAUUGAUUAUGGGAAGGACCUAUGACUUGCUUAUAGCCAAUAGAAAAUGGAGGAGGUAAUGGGCUAUUACUCCCUUGAUUUUUUUAUAUUACAUAAAAUGUCAUCUUAGCCAAAAGGGGCAGAAAUAUUCUCCUGCUGGCCUUGAAGGAAAAAAAAAAAGAAAAAGAAAAAGAUUGUAAACUGCCUAAGGGGAUAACCUUUAAGAGCUGUGGUCUUCAGCCCCACCACUGUAAGAAAAUGAAUUCUGCCAGCAACUUGCAUGAGCUAGGAAGAGGACCCCAUGCUGCAGUUAAGAAUAGAGAUGUCAGUGCGCUGAUUUCACCAUGUUAAGAUCCAGAGCAGAAGAAUCAGCAAAGCUGUGCCCAGACUCCUGACCAUGAAAACUAACCUCACUCACUCCCAACCGAUGGAGAUAAUAACUGCAUGCUACUUUAAGCUGAUAGAUUUGUGGUAAUUUGUUACACAGCACAGAAAACUAAUACAGGGAAGGUGAGAACAACUCAUUUGGGUGCUGCUCCUUUCUUUAUCAGUUGAGAGACAAAAUUAUAUGUGUACAUGAGCUGGGUAUGUUUGAGUGUAUGGGAUAUGGGUCUAUGGGAUACAUAAUAAGGGACUUCCCACAGUACUAAAUGCCAAAGAUGACGGAUUAGAAAGAGCAGACUAUAAUCUCCCUGAAGGCAGGGAUUUGCAUAGCAUGACAGAGUAGGAACUUAAUUAAUGUUGAAGGAACUCGUUUUGCCAUGAUUUAGUUGUAUUUGAUGCCUCUACUUAACCCUACCAGUUUUGUGAUACUUUUGUUAGGGAGUAUAAACAACAGAUUUUAUAAGGAACAUAUAGGUAGUAGGAGCUACUUUUAAUCUUUGAUGUGAAGUAACAAAGAGAUACAGAAAGAAGACAAUAGAUUUUAGCUUUUGCUUAGGGGUUAUCAAUACUACAGUUACGUUACUGUUACACAACCUUCCAAAGUGCAGACAAUUUAUGGCUUCUUAUUAAAUGAAUUAGCUGUGCACAAACCAGAAAACGGGAGGUAAAUUCCUUCCAUUUAAUUUGGUAUUAUUUUAAUUUCUGUAUAUCCUGGUUCCUCUAUCAUCCUCUAAGGCCAAAAAAACUAAACCAAACCAAAACAAAACAAAAACAAUAAACCAACGCCCAGCCUCUCCCAACCCACAAAGCAUCCUUCUGAUGUAUUCAAGACAUUCCAUGGUAGUCUCCUUAAGUAACCCAACAAGUCACAGUGGAAAGAGAGCUUGAUUUCAAGUUAGAAAAUUGGUCUACUAAGCCCAGCUCUGUUAUCUUCACAGCUGUCUGAAGAUGCUCCAAUUUCUUAACAGCUUUGAGUGGCGGUUUGUCUCAUUAUUCAAAUGAGGAAGUAAGCAUACUUGCAAUGCUGUUAUAUGAACUAGAAAUAAUAAAUGCAAAUAACCUAAUAUGCUACCUAACAUAUGAGGAGUAAACAUUUAAAAAAUUAAUAUAUAAUAAUACUAAGUGCUUAGCUUGUGAUCCUUUAAAUCAUAGCAUUCUCAAAUAUGCCCUUAAAAUGGAACACAGAUAUCAUGAUAUUUAAGAAGCAACAAUCAGAAGUGACUCUCUACUUUGAAACUAGGUAUCACAACUGCAGAGUUUAAUGUUUUGUUGCUCUAGUGCUGGCUGGUCACCCGACCUCUACUGUCACUAUUAUUCUACUGAGAAAUCAGCUCUUUAGCCUUGAGCAAAAUCAGUCCUAUUACUCAGGCUAUAGCUGAUUGACCUAGAGAUCAGUGUCGGAGCCAAAGCUGUACCAGAGACAUAUUACAUGACUUAAUUAAUUAAUCACCUCCUUGAUGUAUAGGGAACGAGAAUCUGGGAUACCAGAAGAGACACUGUGAGAUGAACAGAUACCCUAGAAAUAUAUAACAAAAGAACAGAGGUAAAUAUAAAUGUAUGUUUAACAUCACCUCCCCACUCAAUUACUUUUUUUUUUUUUUUAACCAGCAAAUCUCCAUUUCUUGCAAUCUGAGCAAGGCCAAAGUAACACAACCAGAAAGUAUUACACUGAGUAAUCUAUUAUACAUUUUCCACCUUGAAGACAGUAUACAGUUCAUUGAAGAAAGAAAUUCCAUUUGCAAAGAAAGCCUAAGACCAUGAAAAAUGUUGGACUGCAAAGUAAUUACAAGCCAACAGUUCACUUUAUAGAACACUAUAAGGGUACGGUUUCAUAAAGACUGCAAACCAACCUUUAAAUUUUCCUAACAAAAUGCCAAACAUGCCACCUAAAUUACACCAAUCCCAAACACCUACACAAAAAUCCUAAAACAUACAACUCUCCUAUUUCAUUAGUAAUAGAGAAAGCCUGUCAUCUGACUUUCGAAACACCUAUGCCACAAUUAGCAACAUGUCAAACCUUCAUGCUUUUACUUCCUUGUUUCCCAAAAUAGAUUCUAUUAUAGCAACUGAUGAGAAGUUCCUAAGGAAAUAAAGGAUUUUAAGAUCAAUGAAGUUUGGGAAACACUAUUUAUACAAAGUUUAAAUGUUUUCUUCACUGCAGAGCUCUGGGACUUUUACUAUGCAAAUGAAUGUAGCAUUUCCCAAACACAUGAAAGCUCAGAACACUGCUCUCUAUGUUCCACGGGUCUGCUUUUCUACAGAUUGUGUUCACCGUAAGAAAUGUUGCUGUACAGUAUCUGUAAGUCAGAGCACUGGAGAAUUAUAAACCUAGAAUCUACUUUUGCACUCUAUCCCUGAAUUGACACAUCUUGCUAAACUUCAGUUUAAUGAACUCUCAACUUACCAUUAAAGGCCAGAAUAAGAAUUGGCCUUUAUGAACAAGGUCUUUGCCCUUUUAACAAAAUUGCCAUUGAGACUUUAUUCAAAUGCUGCUUGACAUGACUGACACUCAAACCAAUGAUUCCUUUUACUAAAAAAUGAGGUCGAUGUGACUUACUGUGUUUGUCUUUUGCCUUUGCUGUCUGCAAUGUCUGAAAUAAGUGUGUGUUCACAUCCAGGCCCCUCACUCAAGAGCAUUUCUGACAUAAUGGCUACAUUCUAUCCCCUUCUCUUUAUUACCUACCACUCGUCUCUUUACCUAUGUCUCAAAGAUUUUAUUUUUUGAUAUGUACCCCCUCAAUUUUUAAAUGUAAAGAGAUCAUAAGUAAUAAAAGCAAAUUUUAAUACCCUCAGGUUUUCUGUAGAUAUUUGAUUUAAAACAUUAUCCUUCCCAAAACUAAAGAUAAAAAUUAGAAACGUUAUUGUUAGUAACAAAAAUAUUAGUCACACAAAUAUGAUGUUUUAGAGAGUAAUCACAUUGAGUUUUCCAAUAAUUACAAAUCAGCACUGGGCCCAUUUCUACAGCAAAAUCACCCUUCCUUCCAGUUACUGUGGCUUGAUGGAUAACAGAAGGCUAAGCUGAAUGUGUAUAAUGUGUAAGUGACAUUUUAAAAGUCUAAUGUGAAAAGCAAAGUGAUAAUAUGGGGCAGAAUGUGUAGCCUACUAUUUUUUAAUAUGCUAACAUAUAUAGUAGAUCUGUAUAUGCCAGAUUGGCUUUAGAGUGUAAAGAAUGAAUUUGCUGAAUUUUUAGAGAACCUGCUAGUUUGGAAGCAGGUAAAUGAACAAGAUUCUCGAAGGAACAGGGAAUUUGGGAAGUUUCAACAAGGUCAAGUAGACUCAAGAUAAAUUAACACAUCCACACAUGCACAACCUAGUCAUAAUAUUCAGCCCCAGAGUGUGGACACAAUGACACUUUGAGAAGCAAGAAUAAAGUAAACUAUAAAGUAAAAUGCAGAGGCCUCACGUGACCUUCAUGUCCAUUGUCCUGAGUCAGUUACUGAAGGGGGUGUACUGAGGGAGGAGCAGGGCCUUCUACCAGCUAGAAGAACCCUACACCUUCGUUCACUCUCACUGGGAUUUGAAGCUUUGCAAUCAGCUGUCCUUGUUAGGUAACUUUACCAAUUACAAAUUGAACUGAAUUAAACCAGUCCACAAGAAAAAGUGGACAAGGGGUAUGAAAAGGUUCCUACCCCAAAAUGGAUUCAAGAUAACACUAAUAAGCCAAUUUAAACAAAAAGAAAUAGAGGAGAGCAGGCACAGGUCCUUCCCCUAGUAUGAAUUCAUGUGUGUCAGAUGGAGAGAAAGACCGGGGGAGGAGAAUGGGGGAAGAGUUGGGGGCCUGGUGGAACAUGUACCCCACAGGUCCAGAGAAUGCCAUCAACUCAAGAAAGGAGUGGUGGUCUAAAGCUGAGUUGGGGAAAACGUGGACAGAAUGAAAAGGGAGCUUGCUUCUUAUGGGAAAUACGAGAGCAAUAAGAAAUACCCGUGGCCUGUUUUAGAGUUAGAACGAACCAUGUGUUUUGGGGCAAGUUACUGUUAAUGUGAAAGUGAUUAAAAUAGAUCUCUUAAUGUUCCUUCAAGAUCUAAAGUUCUAUGGCAUAGGUAGAGCAAAGGAAAAAAUGACAAUAACUAGGUUCAAAGAAGCAGCAGUUAAUGAAAAGAGGGUGAAAUGGAGUUAGGAAGGACCUAAGUGCUGCUGGAUGAGUAGUGAUUCCAUGAUCCCGGGACCUGCCUAUAUUGAAUUCAAUUUGAGCCCUUGGCAACGUGCUGUGCUGAAAUGUAACAGAGAGACAUUGUUGAGACGCAAAGCAACACAAAGUAUGAACACAGAGUUUAAAUGUUUUCUUCACUACAGAAAAAGAAAAAGUGACGACAUCCAGGAGAAAAACUUUAUAAAAAUAAGAAAUACCACUUGAAAUGUGUCUGAGAGGGAGGGCAGUUUCCACAAUUAAGGUGGAUUGCUGGCCUUUUGUGGGCAAAAAGGAAAGAUACAGAGGCCUUGUCAUGUGCACACACUCACCCACCAGCAGGAAUUGCCAGCACCUCUUAUGCCAUACAAAUGACUCCAUGGACACACAUGCAAGUCAAACACCCACUAUGAUGACUUGAGACCAGCAUGUAACACUGAAGUUUUGCAUGGGUUUUAACACAUACAAAAUUUUCUUUCUAGGAAUGUACCUAACCUGAAUUUUGGGAGAACACUGCACUUUGCUGUGUUAGAACUUUUAUAACGGUUGUUCACGGAAAAUUAUGUUAUGGAAGUUACCGCUUGUGGUAUUUCCAUCAAUAUUCUACCAUAUGUGUAUCAGUCUCUAACUGCAGCUCUUGCAAUCAUGGUCAGGUGAUGUAUACAUGCAGUUAUCCAGAUGGCCUACGCCCCGUUAUGUCAACAUGGAUGCUCAGGCCUGACUGCUGACAUCCUAGAACACAUAAGGUUUGAAUAUUAAACAUUUCCUUUUACAUAAUAUAUGACAUAUAUUUGAUGAAGACAAUGAAUGAAAGCUCAGGCCGGGCACGGUGGCUCACGCCUGUAAUCCCAACACUUUGGGAGGCUGAGGUGGGGGUGGACCACUUGAGGUCAGGAGUUCAAGAGCAGCCUGGCCAACAUGGUCCAUCUCCAUGAAGAAUACACAAAAUUAGCCAGGCGUGGUGGCAGGUGCCUGUAAUCUCAGCUACUGAGGAGGCUGAGGCAGGAGAAUCACUUGAACCCGGGGGGGGGUGGAGGUUGCAGUGAGCCAAGAUUGUGCCACUGCACUCCAGCCUGGGUGACGGUAAGACCCUGUCUCAAAAAAAAAAAAAAAAAAAAAAAAAACAAAACAAAACAAAAAAAACCUUCUUGUGGUAGAUUGCUAACUGCCUCUCUGUAUUCUCCCCCUCAUUCUUGUAUUGUAACAAACCCUGAUUUUGUAUAGUAACAAACCCUGAUUUUGAGCCACACUAGAGAUGAUCUUUCCCAGACUCCCUUGAGGUUACUGGUGGCUGUGUCCAACUUCUCAACAAAGGAACGUGAGCACGUGUGAUGUAUGUAACUUGUGCACUCCUAGUGUAUAGCCAGUCAUUUAGCUAGAACGUGGAUGAGCCAGCUUCAACCACUGAGAAGGAGUGCAAUAGCCUGGCAGCAGAUGGGACAAAAAGAAGAAACAGAAGUACUGCACAACUUGAAGGAGCAAAACUGCCAAACUCCCACGGAUGCACUGGCUACUUGCAGACUGUUAUUAGAGAGAAAAACCACUAUCAUGUCUAAGCUACCAUUUUCUGGGACUCUUUCUUACAGCAACAUAGCUUCUACCUUGACUAACACACCUUGAAAACCAACUAACAAAUGCACACAUACACACAAACAUAUAGACAUACAUACAUGCAAAAUACUGCAGAAAGUUUCAGGAGUAUCCUGGAUCCUUGAAGUCUUUCUUGGUAUUCUGAGCUAAAUAUUUUAUAGAAAUUGGGGUAGCUAAAAAGUAUCAGGAAAACUAGCUUCAAAAUCAUCAGAGGAGCUUUUGUUUCAGAACAAUCACAAGAACACUCGUCAGCUAGUAUUGUAAACUACAGGUGAAAUAAGAGAGCAGUCUGAAAUACAAAAGAGAUUAAAUGACUGGCUCCUUCCCCAAUAACCUAAAUUCUUUCAUAUCUCAUCUUUAUUUUCAGGCCUGCAAGCAAGUAAUCUCAAUGAAUGUCAAAAUCUAUUUAUAAGUGUGUCAAUGUUAAUGCCAGGAGCAACAAUCACUUAGACUCUAAAACUGUAAUACAAUUUUUUUUAAAUGACAGAAAGCAUUAAAAUACCAUCAUUCAUAUUCUCUGUCAGUAAUCAAAGCUGAAAUUUUAAAACAAAUAUAUUCUACAAUAAAUAAAUAAAUGUAUCAGGUGGAAAACAAACAGCCAAAAUCAUACUUUAUGAUUAACUACUAUAAACAAAUACAAAAGAAUUUUUGCAAAAUAAUAGCAACUGGAGCAUCAACAACAGUUCUCAAAUUUUUGCCAAUACAUUAUCUAGUUUCCCUUUAAUCCUGUAUCUCAUCUUAAACAAAUAACACCUAAAAUAUAAUAUAUUGUCUGUAAACCAGAAAUUGGAGGAGUACAUGGAACUGUUUUCAUAUAGCAUGAACAUUUAAGAAAUAAAGAUUGCAUAUUUUAUGACAUUAUCACCAUUUUUUCCAGCAACUGCAGGAAUGUCUAAAAUUUUAAUCUUUUUGACACAGUUUUUUAUUGCUGAGUGAUAUAUAAGUGAUUAGACCAAAAAUGUAAGAGUGUGAGCCCUGAGAUAAAUUAGCAGGGAGGCAACUGCUAUGACAAUACAGCCCUGGCUCUGCAAGGGAUCCCCAUAGCCUCUCCCAGACACCGAGUGAUCUAAUCACACCAUAUGGUCUCACCCACAGGACUCACAGGAUCUGUGCGCAAACAACCAACCAUCUAAUUUAUUCAAAUGAUAAAGGGGAGGAAUGGCUUUUAAAAUUCCAAGCUGUUUAAAAAUCAGUUACCAGUGACACAAUUCAUUAUCAUAACUGAAAAAUGUUUCCAUUUAAUUAAAUAAUAACCAUACACUGACAAGUUAACAAUUAGUCAUUUGGGAAUUCAGAUUUUCCAUAAUAUGAUUCUUACCUCAUAAAAAGAAAUAAAAUGCAGUUAAUAUAUAUGUUGUAAAACUCUGGACAAGAGGAGUCCAGCCAAAUUUUGGAAGAAGAUCACAUAUAUUUUUAAAGCAACUUUAAGGCAUAUUGCACAAAAUCAAAUACAAAAUUAAAUGAGAAGAAUAUUCAUCAAAUUUGCAUACAAGCGCAUAAAAAAGAGAAAGCAAAUGUGAAUUCCAUGGACAUUAAAAAUAAAAAAUUGUCUGUUUCCCCAAAAGGAAGAGAGAAAUUAUGACAAUAAAACAAAUACAAACAUCUGUUUACAAUGGAAGAUGUAAUUUGGUUAUUUAGAAAUCAAUGCAAGAAUAACCAUGAUCUCUACAUUCAUUCUAAAAUGACAAAAUUGGACUCUGGGGCUAAAAUAUAGGAAAUUAAAUGGAAAAUCUAAACGAAAUAAUUUAUCUGGCAAAACAAAAAAGUGAGAACAUUUUAAAAUCAACCUUAGAGAAAAGAGUACAAUUAUAUUCAUAAGGCAACAGCAUUUUGUAUGCAAAUUUAUUUUAUCAUAACAUUUUUCAAGCAUUUUAUAAAAUAAAGGCUUUGUUCCCCCCCAAACAAAAACCCAUAAAAAAUUCAGUAAAGAAAUAAAAUUAGAAGUUUAAUAUGAUCAAGUGAAAUGAAAGUGCAUAUAUUUUAACUAUAUGUUUAAAGAUGAUAGCUUGAUGUACACUUCUGUCUUGUUUGAAAGAAGUAAAAGAGAAAGUGAAAACGGUUAACCUUCACCAAUAGAUCUACAUCUAAAUAAGUAGGAAAUUCUAAAUUAGAUCAUUAAGGACAAAAAUUCAAGAAAAAAUUGAUAUUGGUUGGAAUUGAUCCUAUUUAAGAGUGCCUAGAAAGACAAUAUGUCUUUAAUAAGAUAAAAAGAAAUGGUCUAAUUUUUAUGUCUUUGAGCAUAUUCAGAAGCACACAUUCAGAAGAACAAGUUCAGAAAGCAUUCCUUUACGUGAACUAUGACCCACUGAAAGAGAAAACUCAAAUGGAAAAAUGAAGUUAAUUAUGGACAAUUCUUUCUAGCACAUACAUUCUGCUGUCAUAGUUUCUUACACUAAAACGAUUGCCAAUAACAGUUUCCUAGCUAGCCUUAGUGAAGUGCCAAAGAUACAAGGUACAAGUGGGGGAAAAAUAACACAUUGAUCAAUGACCACCAGUCAGUUUUGUUUUGUUUUGUUUUUUUGAGACGGAGUUUUGCUCUUGUUGCCUAGGCUGGAGUACAGUGGUGCGAUCUGAUCUUGGCUCACUGCAACCUCCAUCUCCUGGGUUCAAGCGAUUCUCCUGCCUCAGCCUCCUGAGUAGCUGGGAUUACAGGCAUGUGCCACCACGCCUGACUAAUUUUUGUAUUGUUAGUAGAGUCUGGGUUUCUCCACGUUGGUCAGGCUGGUCUCAAACUCCUAACCUCAGGUGAUCCACCCGCCUCAGCCUCCCAAAGUGCUGGGAUUACAGGCAUGAGCCACCGCACCCGGCCCAUCAGUCAGCUUUUAAGUCAGACUUACUGUACAUCCUGACAAGGAGCUAGGGGUCAUGGUGGGAGUGGAAGUGAUUAGGAAGCAGUGGUCAGAGUGGGGAGAAACAUAACUCCAGUUGCAUGUGUGACAGAACAGACUGUUCAUUGCAGAGCCAAACAAGUUAGGGCGGAAGAAUAGUCAUUUUCUUUAAUUUUUGCACAUGUGACAUAUUUUCCUUGAAGUGUAACAUAUAUAGAAAGUGAAUGAAUCAUAAGCAUGGCUCGAAUCACUUUUACAAAAUGAAUACUUUUUUGUUAUCAGCAACAAGAUUAAGAAACAGAACAUUAACAGCACUUGGAAGUGCUCCCUCCCAGGUACUAAUCCCUAAGAGUAAUCUAACACCACAGAUUAGUUUUGCUUUUUUUGAUCUUUAUAAAAAUGGAAUUACACAGUACAUACACUUUUGUAUUGGGCAGUUAUGCUCAACAUUGUAUUUGUGAGAUUCAUCCAUGGUGUUGCAUGUAGAUGUCGUUUGUUCAUUCUCAUUGUAAAUUCAAACACUGGAAUACUAUACAGCAAUUUAUUUAUCCAUUAUGCUGUUGAUAGGUAUUUUGGUAGUUUCCAAGUUUUGGCUAUUGUGAACACUAUAGCUAUAACUUUUCUGCUCAUGUUUUUGUUGUUUUUUUUUUUUUGGUAAACAUAUCAAUGAUUUCCAUUAGGUAUAAACCUAGGGAAGAGUUUAAAUGCUAGGUCAACUUUAAUAAAUACUGUCAAACCAUUUUUCAAAGAAGCAGUUCACUCCCACCAAUAGAGUUCUAUUUGCUUCACUUCUUCACCAACAUUUGUUAUUGCCAAUAUUUGCUUUUUAUAUUUAUGUAUGUUUGUUUUUCAUCCUCCUGGUCAAGCAGUUGUAUUACACUGUGGUUUCAUUUAUGUUUACUUGAUGACUAAUGAAGCUGAGCAAAUUUUCAUAUGUUUAUCGGCCAUUUAGAUAUUAUAUCAAGAGCUACCUCAUGUAUGUUUUCCCAAUUGAUAGAAAUUAUUAGCAUUAAUGAGUGACUGUAGCAAAAUUGUUCAAUCAUAAUAUAACUGAUUGAUUAAAGUCAAUGUCAUUGCUAAAUGUUAGCACCAAAUAUAAAAUUAAAUUUUGGAAAAUUAUAUAUAACCACAUGAAAAAUACCUUGGAAUAAAUAAAUUCAAACGAAAGAUGUGUGAGAUCUCUACGUAAGUGGUUCUUCAAUCUCUUAGCCUUGGGGAAUUUUUCCUCCUGGAACCAUUUGGCAAUUUCUAGAGAAUACUUUUGAUUGUUAGGGACUGGAGGCAGGGGAUGCUAGUUAUGUCUAGUAGGUAGAGGCCAGGUAUGCUGGUAAAUAUCCUAUAAGGACAGGUAACCAUCCCCAAGUCCAUCCCCCACCACAGAGGAUUAUCCAGUACAAAAUCAGAAGAUGGGAGAGGGUGUUAUAUAGUACUUAUGGACUGGAAGACUCAAUAUUAUAUACAUGUCAGAGUGUACAAAGAAACUCUCCAGAGUGAAAGAUAUGUCCAUUAUUUUGAUUUUGAUAAUGGUUCCAUUGAGUGUGUUUAUAUGUCAAAGUUUAUCAACAUGUACACAUUCAAUAUGCAUGCUAUUUUACAUCAAUAGAGCUGUUAAUUUUUUUAUUCCCAGAAACAAUUUAUGAAAACUGAGACGAUAGAAAAGUUCUACAACUAUUAAAGAAAUUGAGUCGGUAAUUAAAAGUUUUCCCAAAAAGAUCUCUAGUCUAG